CUAAGAAUGAUUUUUUCCCAUUCAGUAUAUGCUCUAAAAAUAAGGACAAACUAUAAUAGAAGUAACGAUUUUUGGCACACAUGUUUAUGAAAAUGUCCAAGUCAAUAAGCAAUUUCAAUUAAUCAACAAACUUAAAACAACCAUUAAAUGUAAUUUGUAUUUUUGUAUCAGAUCCAUACAAUCUCAAAUAUCAAGAUUUUCUUAAGCUCAAUGCUAAAUGACCGGAUAUCUAUCAUUGUGGAGAAAAAGAAUUUGAUCUCAGGCAGACCAAAGGAAACGAAAGGCACACACCUAGAAGAAUCACAUGAGUCUCACUUCGAAGCCUCACAGAAGUCAGCACUGAAAGUCGUGGGUUACCCAUUGCCCUGCAAGUGGCAGCUUUUCACUAACAGUGCUGGGGGUACUGAGCGGGCAGAAUGUGGGACAUCUCCUGCCAGCAAACUCCAGCCUGCUACCAAGCAGGACACCGCACACAAACACAACACUCUGCCCUAAGCUCACCAAAAAAAAAAAAAAAAAGGAAAAAGCCAACAAUUAAACGAUGCAAAAUAACCUCUCCAAACACGCCCACAAUGGGGGCUGGCAGUGGGGGGUGGAAGGGUUCAUUAACAUUUCAAUUUCAACACUCAACAACAACAAGGAGGUAAGCAUAGCCACGGGAAACAUCCUGUCCCUGAAAAGCGGAAAAUUGACAUUUGAAAAUUUAUGUUUAUUACUUUUAACGUUCAGAGCUCAGGGCACCAAAAUAGAGCUAAAAUUGAAUCAAUUUAAACAGAAAACAUACGUGUGUGUGUGUGAAAAUAUGUAUGUGUAUAUAUAUGCAUAUAAAAUAUAUACAUACACAUAUAUAUUUUAUAUUUUUUUCCGUUUAAAUGUUAUACAUACACACAACCCCCCCAAAACCAAAGUAGUUUUCCGAGGUUCCGAGGGCUCUUCCACAGACCCUUCGGAGUUAUGGCAAUAACAAGUUUAGGUUUCCUUAAAAUCUCCAUUACUCUAUUUCUAGGUCGAAUAUAAGAAUGUCACAUAAAUCUAAAUAGUGAUUAUCAGAAUAAAUGAACUACUGAUCCUUAAACUGUAGACCUUGUUUCGGGAGCUGCCCUGCCCACUUCCUCUCCCUCCUCCCAAUCCCGGAGGCUUCCAAGCCAUCUGACAACCACGUCUACCCCUUGGGAUCUGUUCCGGUGUUGGUUUUACCGGACAGUGACCAAAAAGGAGGGGAAACUCCUACAUCUGGGGACUGCUCCAGAAACCCUGCCUGAUCCUGCCCCUCUCACUGACAGUCUCCUCGCUGCUCCCUACAUCUUCCUCUCCGCCGGAGCUGUCCAGAAGGGGGAUUUUGGACCCAAAGGAAUCGGGAUGAAAGGGGAUCAGAGUGAGAGGCGCUGGCAAUGGACUAGGAAGCUCGGCUGCCGCUGCUACUGCUCCCCCCUGGGCUCCGGCGAGAGCCUUUCCCUGUCAAGCAAGAGGGGUGAGGAUCAUAUUUUUAUUUUGGAAACUAAAAAGUGCUCCCAGGGUCGGUGAUUAUUAAGGGGAAAUCCCUGAAUAUACUCUCCAGCCAAGAAGGCAGGGCUGCCGGGGCUGUACAAGAAGAGGCAGCAGCCUCCUACAGCACCACUACAGGCACUGCGAGGACAUAACACCAGAGAGCUGCUCCUCUGCCCUCCGAAACGACAACUUUCCUACCAUCUUGGAGGCAGAGCAAAGGGGGGCCAGGGGGAAAAGUGCACCCGCUCCCGAUAAAGUACAAAUUUUUACUCCCCAUCUCUGGAAAAAAGUCCACACCGGCAGUCUACACCGGCGCCUGGGGGAGAAAGCAGGGAAGAAACUGGGGGUGCAUGAGAAACGUUUUCAUUUGCUCUAGGGGGAAAAAUGUUUCUGCAUCUUCUGAUGGAAAGAAAUCAUUACAAGACACAGGUUUUCCGGUGAUUACUGUUUUCUGUUUUCUAUUUCUAAUUUUUUUCAUGUUAGUGACAGUGAUAUUUUAAUAUUUUUUCAGGCCAAUAAUAAUCUUUCUCCAUUACAGGGCUAAGUUCUGUGGCUGGUGGUCAGUUUGUAAAUUUGUACUUAAAGAGACUUAAUAGUAACUUCAUUUAUUUGUCUAGUUAUGUUAUUGUAUAUAUAAAUAUUCACAUGUUUUCAUAUAUUGCAUAUGAAAAUUUGUUACAUGUUACUCUCAAAACUGAGAUUGCUGUAAGACAAUUGUAAAAAACAUGUCUUUCGUCUCUGUCUCAAAGCAAUGUAAAUAAAACCUAUGGACUGUCCA